UGCAGUCGAGCGCAUUCUUCGGAAUGAGCGGCGGACGGGUUAGUAACGCGUGGGAACGUGCCCAGAUCUAAGGAAUAGCCACUGGAAACGGUGAGUAAUACCUUAUACGCCCUUCGGGGGAAAGAUUUAUCGGAUUUGGAUCGGCCCGCGUUAGAUUAGGUAGUUGGUGGGGUAACGGCCUACCAAGCCUACGAUCUAUAGCUGGUUUUAGAGGAUGAUCAGCAACACUGGGACUGAGACACGGCCCAGACUCCUACGGGAGGCAGCAGUGGGGAAUCUUAGACAAUGGGCGCAAGCCUGAUCUAGCCAUGCCGCGUGUGUGAUGAAGGCCUUAGGGUCGUAAAGCACUUUCGCCAGAGAUGAUAAUGACAGUAUCUGGUAAAGAAACCCCGGCUAACUCCGUGCCAGCAGCCGCGGUAAUACGGAGGGGGUUAGCGUUGUUCGGAAUUACUGGGCGUAAAGCGUACGUAGGCGGAUCAGAAAGUAGGGGGUGAAAUCCCGAGGCUCAACCUCGGAACUGCCUCCUAAACUCCUGGUCUUGAGUUCGAGAGAGGUGAGUGGAAUUCCAAGUGUAGAGGUGAAAUUCGUAGAUAUUUGGAGGAACACCAGUGGCGAAGGCGGCUCACUG
rnacentral:rRNA from 1 species